GCCCAAUGGGCGCCGAGCGAGUGUGAGAGACCCUCCCCGGGCGCGGCGGCGCGUGCGCACAAAGAAAAGGAAUUUAUUGGAAGGAAAUUGGAUAGCUAAAAUAAUAAAUAGGACGUCUGCAGAACCAAGCUUAGAAAUGGGAAGGAAUCAAGAGAGACUGGCCGGCAAAGACAUAGACUGAAACGUGGCUGUGUAAAGGAGCCAGCUUCAACCAUUGAAAUGAGAAUGUCCUAUAACCACAGGAAUGAG